rnacentral:rRNA from 1 species
UAGGGAAUCUUCCACAAUGGACGCAAGUCUGAUGGAGCAACGCCGCGUGAGUGAAGAAGGUUUUCGGAUCGUAAAGCUCUGUUGUUGGUGAAGAAGGAUAGAGGUAGUAACUGGCCUUUAUUUGACGGUAAUCAACCAGAAAGUCACGGCUAACUACGUGCCAGCAGCCGCGGUAAUACGUAGGUGGCAAGCGUUGUCCGGAUUUAUUGGGCGUAAAGCGAGCGCAGGCGGAAGAAUAAGUCUGAUGUGAAAGCCCUCGGCUUAACCGAGGAACUGCAUCGGAAACUGUUUUUCUUGAGUGCAAAAGAGGAGAGUGGAAUUCCAUGUGUAGCGGUGGAAUGCGUAGAUAUAUGGAAGAACACCAGUGGCGAAGGCGACUCUCUGGUCUGCAACUGACGCUGAGGCUCGAAAGCAUGGGUAGCGAACAGG